rnacentral:misc_RNA from 1 species
GCAUAAAGCACAAGGGAGUUGAUCAAUGGCACAUUGUAUCGAGUACCAGCAGAGGCAGCUUCACUUGUUGAAAGUAGUAGUCUCUGCUUCAAUUCAGUAAGGAAUGAAGAACCCUGCUGUCUCGUCUUGAGAUACUCAUCCACGUCAGCUUUCAUUUGCUUUUCUUUAAGAGCUGUAUCAACCUCAGAAAGAAUGUGAGGAACCUCCCUUAUUUCUGGAAGCAAAUCAAUCUUCAAGUUGGAAGUAGAUGGAUCCGGCAGCCUCAUAUUGCGGGGGAAUGCACUGAGUAUAAUAUUCCGCAUUUGUAUGCAGCGCAGCUUGGAGGAAUCACAUCACAGAAGGUGAAAUGAUAAUCACACAGGAAUUCUGGGAAAUCAUGAAGCAGAACCAGCAGCACCCUUAGUGUACCUUUAUACAGAAAGUGAACAGGAAUUCCUAGUUCAGCACUCCUCAAAAAUGGCUCCAGGAACUGGAACAAAUCUACUAGCAAGCGUUGGACAUAGGGCCACCCCUUCUGAGCAUUUCCUGUGAGCAAUUUUGGCAU